GCCAAGCUUGGGUGCACUGGGCCGGUUAUCCAGCCGUGUGGAAUCAACAUCUCCAGCUGAGCUUGGGCCGGGAAUUAUAUAAGAAUCCUUAGCAGCAUGAGUGCCAGCCAGUCAUUGCUGUUCUUUGCAUUGCUGAGGAGGACAGUCCUGCCAACAUAAUAGUUUGUUCAAUAACAGGAGACAAACAGAAACACAGAGGUGCUAUACAUUCCGAUGGAAAAUACAACAAAAGAAGAAUUUUAAGAAAGGUGAUGGUUGGGCACACACAAGAAGACAUAGAUCACAUGUGUCCAGGCAUAUGAGUAGACAGGAGUUUCACACUCUGCCAAACUUACUUCAUCAGAGGAGCAGAAAGCUUCCCAAGAUCCCGCACUGCACACUUAGAUAUAGUCUUUGACUACAACAAGGGGGAGAAAGUACAGAGAGGUCCAAUUGAAACCAAUUCUGUGCUGCGUCAUUUCUUCAUUCUGGAAGUCGAUGGACAUGAUUUAUCAUGGCAUCAGGUGUGCAGUUUGUCGACUAUCAGCAGUCUUGUUCACCAGUUGUGCAACUUGAGCUGGUAGCUUUAUUGCUUGAAGCCACAGCAUAAGAGGGGGAAGGUGCAGGCUCAUCAAAAAGUCUCAAAAGUUGAAACUAGGAAAAGAAGUUUGUCAAGAGUGUGAAUAUUUGCUUUGAAAACCAUCGUUACGAUGAUUUGGUUUCCUUUGAAACUUGAUACAUACUAUGUGUAUGUUGAAUGAAUUGAGAUGCUUAAAUAAAGAACAGCUAUUCAAAUAUCAGGAAACUGCAUUUUUCAUACUAAAGGGUAAAUGAUGUCGCCAUUUCCUGUAUGUAUUUAAAUGAGAUAUGUUUCCACAAUUAAUAUUUUUAGGGAAUUUUUCUCAUCCUAAUGAAUGAGAUAAAAUUGUACAGCGUUAUAUGAGCUUAAUAUGUGUUUUCUGUUUCUUUAAAAUUGGUGAAAAAUUGUCAGAAGAUAAUUAGACCAGUAUCCAUUACUGCAAUCAUACAAUCAAAUAUACAGGGACAAACCCACUGGGCAUAUAAUAUAAUUAAACCCUGUUUAGGGGCACGAGGCAAACAGAGUUACUUUCAAACGUUAAAGCUGCACUCUCACAUUUUGGACGUUUUGACAACUUUUCUCAUUUUAUGUCUUGGAUUGGAACCAUCCAAUUUUUGCGAAAAAUUAAAUGGCAGAUUUUUCUAUUUAAGUUAAAACAUUGAUGUUUUAUGCACUUUUCUUAAACCGUUAGUAACAUUAAUUUUUGAACGGAAAUAUGAAAUCUGUGAUCUGA